GAGGUAAUGGCGGAACGGUGACGCAGCGAAUUGCAAAUUCGCUCAAUGCUGGUUCGAUUCCAGCUUACCUCUCCA
rnacentral:tRNA from 1 species